GCUGGGUGCGGUGGCACACCCUGUAAUCCCAGCGACUUGGGAGGCUGAGGCAGGAGGAUCGUGAGUUCAAACCCAGCUUCAGCAACUCAGUGAGACCCUGUCUCUA
rnacentral:sRNA from 1 species